rnacentral:rRNA from 1 species
UACAGAGGGUGCGAGCGUUAAUCGGAAUUACUGGGCGUAAAGCGUGCGUAGACGGCUAUCUAAGUCGGGUGUGAAAGCCCCCGGCUCAACUGGGGAGGGUCAUUCGAUACUGUUCGACUCGAAGGCAGGAGAGGGAAGCGGAAUUCCCGGUGUAGUGGUGAAAUGCGUAGAUAUCGGGAGGAACACCAGUGGCGAAGGCGGCUUCCUGGCCUGUUCUUGACGCUGAGGCGCGAAAGCUAGGGGAGCAAACGGG